UCCCUCCCCAAUCUCCCGCCCCACCCCUCCCCCGCUAUUCCCCCUCCGCGCCCCAGCCCUAGCCGCGGCGGGGCAAACCCUAACCCCAUGUCCUCCUCCUCCUCGCUGCCCGCCAAGCCGCCCCCGCCGCCGCGCCCCAAGACGCGGGGCAGCUACAACUGCGGCCGAUGCGGCCAGCCCAAGAAGGGCCACGUCUGCAACCUCCCCUCCCCGGCCGCCGCCGACGGCGCCGCGCCCCCCUCCCCGUCGCCCUCCUCCUCCGCCGGGGACACCCGCCUCCGCCGCGCCCUCUCCUUCGACGACACCCCCGCGCCCUCCUCCCCCGAGAAGAAGCCCAGGCCCGACCAUGACUUUGCCGGCCGCACCAUGGAGCUGGGCGGCCGGGCCGUGCCGGUCGACCUCGUCGUCGAGGUCCUGCGCCGGCUCGGCCCCAGGGGGGUACUGGACGCCGCCGCCGUCAGCCGCGCCUGGCGCGACUGCGCCGACCGGGUCUGGCGCGUCGCCGAGGAGCUCCGCCUCCGCCCGGCCGCCGCCGGCCUCCUCGGCGCGCUGCUCCCCCGGUGCGCCGCGCUCUCGCGCCUAGUCCUCCACAUGGAAAGUGCUGUUGAUGCCACCAUGCUGUCAUGUCUUGCAUUUUCCUGUUCAAGUUUGGAAACUCUGGAGAUCACCAUGGCCGACAAGGCAAUCAACAAUAUGACUGGAGAGGAGCUAAGUCGACUUGUUUCAGAGAAGCGUUCUCUCUCAGUUCUCAAAAUCGGUGGUUGCUCUAAUCUUGGUUUUCUUAAUCUAAGCUCGUCAAGUCUUAGUGUCCUUUGGCUAUCAGAUCUUUGCUCCCUUUCGGAAUCGGUCAUAAGCUGCCCUAAUAUGAGCGAGCUCUCCCUGUGUUUCACACAACAAAGUACUGAAUGUACUGACCUGGUUAGUUUGAUGGAUGGCCUGGGCCGAUCGUGCCCUAACUUAAGAAAUUUGCACAUAUCAUCAAUUCAACUAUCUAAUGAAGCCGUGUCCGCUCUAGAGGGUGCCAACCUCAGGGGCUUGUGCAUGCUAUCCUUGAUUCUCGGUUCAAAAAUGACAGAUGCAGCUGUUGCAUCUAUCGUCAGAUCUUGUGCAAGCUUGGAAUUGCUUGAUUUAAGUGGAUCUAGCAUCAGUGAUAGUGGUGUUGGUAUGAUCUGCAAGGCGUUCCCUCAUACUUUAUCGAGGCUGCUCCUUGCUCUCUGCCCAAAUAUUACUACAUGUGGGAUCCAGGCCGCAACAGCACAAUUGCCACUACUUCAGCUCAUGGACUGUGGAAUGAGCUUACGUUCCAACUUGCAGAAUGAAAAACAGGGGGCUUAUUUUGGUGAGAUCAAUGGAAGGAUUAGAUUGUGCCCAAAAUUACCCACCUUAAAAAAGCAACCUAUGCGCCAAAAGCUAAUCAUAAAGCAUGAUAAUUUGAAGAAGCUCAGUCUAUGGGGCUGUUCAGCAAUAGAUGCUUUGUAUGUGAAAUGCCCAGAGUUGAUUGAUCUGAACCUCAACACUUGUACAAAUCUACACCCAGAGCGGCUGCUACUUCAGUGCCCAAAUCUGAAGAAUGUACAUGCAUUUGGAUGCCAAGAUAUGUUGAUUGGUGCAAUAAAAAACCAGAAACUGAUAAACAGAAAGAAUCUAAUGAAGCAAUGUGUAUCAACUGGAGUCUAGCAAGGAGUAAGCUGUGAAGCUGAAGGUGUAUCAGGCUGUCUACAGGCCCAAACAGCACACAUGAAGGAUACUACUAAAGCCCACCUGUAUACGAAAACCUAGGUUCUGAAUGAGUUCGCUGCAGCUGAACCACAUCUUCCAUGCAAGCGGCUAGCAGACGGUUCAAAACGGGUUCAGCUGUCACAGUUCCCACAAGAGCAGCUACCCGAGGACAAAAUAUGGAUUGGAUUCAAGCGGUCGGAGUGCAUUGUUCAUCUUGAUUCUUGAUUAAUAAUAACAAGCUAGAGAACCGCUCAUUGUGCGCACUCUGAUUUGUGAAAUUAGACAAUUGGUGAGUAUUUAUUUAUUUGUUUUGUGCACCUCCAAACCCAUAAUAUAUGUAAUGUGCCUGUUGUAUAAGCUGCUACAUGGAAGUGAAACUUGCAUCAACUGGUUUUUGGGUUCCCACUGGUGUGCUCCGCUUGGCCUAAUUAAUAUGUAACCAUAUUAUUUUUUGGUGCAAUAAAGUUGUGAAUCAUUUAAACUA